GGCGAUUCUUACGAGUUACAGUUGUUGAACAGAAAAUCGGCUGAGGAACCCCGGGCACGUUUUGGUCAAUCUUGGCUGUACAGAACGCUUAUCAGUAUAAAGUAUAAGUCAUAAUAUUUUGUUAAUGUUAUAAUAGAUAUUUUAUUUACAAAAACAAAAUUUAUCUACAAGUACUUAAUUUAAUUAAGCAUAAUUUUUUUGCAACUAAAGAUGAAUAUAGUAUCGUAUAUAGUUUAGUAAUGUAACGAAAUUUCACAAAAAUACCUCUCAAAUAGCCAGUUCUUU